rnacentral:rRNA from 1 species
GAUGAACGCUGGCGGCGUGCCUAAUACAUGCAAGUCGAGCGAACAGACGAGGAGCUUGCUCCUCUGACGUUAGCGGCGGACGGGUGAGUAACACGUGGAUAACCUACCUAUAAGACUGGGAUAACUUCGGGAAACCGGAGCUAAUACCGGAUAAUAUAUUGAACCGCAUGGUUCAAUAGUGAAAGACGGUUUUGCUGUCACUUAUAGAUGGAUCCGCGCCGCAUUAGCUAGUUGGUAAGGCAACGGCUUACCAAGGCAACGAUGCGUAGCCGACCUGAGAGGGUGAUCGGCCACACUGGAACUGAGACACGGUCCAGACUCCUACGGGAGGCAGCAGUAGGGAAUCUUCCGCAAUGGGCGAAAUCCUGACGGAGCAACGCCGCGUGAGUGAUGAAGGUCUUCGGAUCGUAAAACUCUGUUAUUAGGGAAGAACAAAUGUGUAAGUAACUAUGCACGUCUUGACGGUACCUAAUCAGAAAGCCACGGCUAACUACGUG